rnacentral:pre_miRNA from 1 species
UAUAUACUCCCUCCGUCCGGAAAUACUUGCCAUCAAAAUGGAUAAAAGGGAUGUAUCUAGAUGUAUUUUAGUUUUAGAUACAUCCCUUUUUGUCCAUUUUGAUGACAAGUAUUUUCGGACGGAGGGAGUAUAAU